GGGGAUAUAGUUCAGUUGGUAGAGUGCUUGCCUCACAUGCACGAGCCCUGGGUUCAAUCCCCAGCACCAUUA
rnacentral:tRNA from 1 species